GUUUGAAUUCAUAUUAUAUUUAGAUUUUCACAAACAAAUUGUAUGCAUCUUUUUAAUUAAUCCAAAAAGAAUUCAAAUUAAAUAGUAUGCGACUUCCUUAAAAAAGUUGGCUGAAUAUAUCGCUUUCUAAUACAAAAUCUUAAUUCCUAUUAAUAUUUAAAUUUUCACAAAUAAGUUGCAUACAUCUCCCUAAUUGAUCCAAAAUUGAAAUUACUUAUAUACUAACCACCAUUGAUCCAAAGAUGAACUUUCAUGUAUACUAACACAAGCAAAAACCUCAAAAAUCUCAAAUUCAUAAUAAAAUUGCAAUAGAUUUUGUAAAGUAGUUUGUGUUGGUAAUUAUUUGGAAAACUAAACUUGUAAAGCGAUUGGAUAAUGAAGUUGAAUAGGAGAUGAAAUUAUUACUGAAAAUCUAAAAAUUUCCACUUGAAAACUUAUUAUCUGGUUAAUUAAAAUUAUAAAGAAAAAAUUAUUAUACUACUGGAAAAUAGAUGGGCAACUUAUGAAUUUUGUCAAAAUUUAAGAACCUGCUUGAAAACUAAUAUUGGACUUGAAAGGAGAUUCGAAGAAGAAUAGCAUGCAGCGAGUUUAAAAGUAUCAAUUUUUAGCUUAAUACUUAAUUAAUACGAUUUGUUAAUUCUAAACCUUUUUUUAUUAUGAUUUUUUAAAAAGUCCCUACUUUUUAGUGUAUUUGUGUAAUUUGCCCACCAUUAAUUUGGUCAGGCCCAUCUUAGCUGAAUCUCAGGUGGUUUAAUUACCAUUUGAGUAGUAUGAAUAUGGAUUCAGACCAUUGUUAUUUGGGAAAGUGUUGGUAUGAAACGGGCUAACGAGACCCAAAUUGCCUGGAAUGAAUUUGGAGGGAGGAGUUGAAAUUUAAUCUCCCACCACCUAUAACUUCCAUGUAACUCUCACUAUACCGAAACCAUAAAAGAAGAAAAUGCAAAAUUUAGAUAUAGAGAAGGGAGUGAAAAUACAUUAGGGUACGUUUGAUUGCAAAUAUGGAAUUUGGGUGGAAAUAAAACAAAUUUCAAGAAAUUAAGUUGUCUAAAAAUUGUUUUACUGAGAAUUGUCAAUUAAUAGUGUUUGAUUUGUUUAAUUUUUCACCUGAAAAAUGUUGAAAUAAAAGUAUUUUUUGGUGUUUAUUUGAUUUUAUUUUUCAUGAAAAUUGUCAAUUUAAUCCACUUUUGCAAUUGUUCCUAAAAUUUGUUUCCAUUGCGUCAAAAAAAAAAAAAAAAAAAAAACCCGAAGAAAUCCAAAAAUCAUCUACCUUUCGGUAUUCGUUUGGCUUUGUUUUAAAUGAAAAUUUUCAAUUUAAGCGAUAUCCUCGUUUACAAUUGUUCCUAGAAUUUGUUUCAAUUGCAUAAAAAAAAAAAAAAAGAAGCAAAAACUUGGAAAAGCUAAAAAAAUCUGAUGUGGCAAAGAUUUGUAGAAAAUCAUUUUCAUAAAAAAAUUCUACCAUCAAACAAGUUAAAAAGUGGGAAAUGAAAUUUAAUUUCCAUUUUUCAUGGAAAAGAAAUGUCUAUCAAAUAGGGCCUUAGUGUAUUGACUAGAUUUUGCAAGAUUACCAUCUCAAAAUUGAUUCUUGGAUUGUGAAUAUCAAACUCUUUCCAUCGUGAUCGAGUCUAUAGCCAAAGAGCAGUAAGUGAAUAAACCAAUGGCAAGUAAUUCAACCUUUCAUUCGUCGGAAUUUCAAGUAAGUUCUAAGACUCCAAACUCAAUUAGAAGCAUGCUAAGUAGUUUUUUACAUUGAUAUCAGCAUCUAAGUAGGUUGUUUUCUUGCUCUGUGACAUGCUAAAAAAUGGUUUAAUGUGAUGAAAAUGCAUGUAUGUCAUUUUUCCUUCAAAGUUUGAACACAUUUCAUGGCAAGUUAUGAUAUACCUCAUAUAUGUUCUAUAAAUUUAUACUAUAUGUUCAUGUUAACAUAUAUAACAUGUUUGCAAAGUUUCAUAUUGUUGAGCUUUGUAUUCUGGAAGGAAGAAAAAUGGAACCCUAGUUAAAGAACCCAAACUUUCAUAACAUGAUAGCUUAUUCAAGGUCGAUCCUGAAAAUUUUAAGACUCUAAUCGACUAAUUAUUAUGAGGCCUUUGUCAUGGGUGGUAUGAACGGCUACUUCGAGAUUGAAACUAAGGCCGAGUAACCUAUAGGAUGUGGUUGUAUCUCUAAUUGUGCAGAUGGUAAUAGGAUAACAUAUAGAAAAAAAUGGAAUUUGAUUGAAGUUCAAAUCAGUUUUACGGAAAAAUUAUGGUUUGCCUCUUUACGAAUUCAAAAGCUUGGAAAAUUGAAAAUUGAAGAUUGCAGAAGUUCAAAUUCUGAAGAAGGGUGGCCUAGUGACUUUGGCCCGGGGUCAACCCUAAGUUUACUGUACGUUACGUUUUGUGUUUUCAAAUGAUACAAAAGAUGAUUACUUUUGGCAUUGAAAUGAAGAAGUUAUGGUCUAUCGAAGUUUGGUUGAAUUUUUGAAAAUUCUACACUAGAAGAUGAACAGUAAACAUAAAAAAAUUCCUUCCCACCCUCAAACCAAGUUGUUGGUGUUCCAAACACGGCUUUAGAUAUUGCUGUUGUAAAAUCAUGAAUUCAGAUUAUCAAAAUUAACUAAAUGGGCCAAACAAGUUUUUUGAAUGUUUGCACGCGGAGGUGUACCUGAUUGCGCCCUAUUUUUAUUUUUUUUAAUUAAAAAGUUUAAAAAAUUUAAAAACUUUGAUCAGCACGUUGGGGGCUCAUGUGGAAUCGUUUGUAUUUCUAAAAAUUACAGUCUGAUUCCUAAAAUAUUCUAUACACUUAAA
rnacentral:lncRNA from 1 species